rnacentral:sRNA from 1 species
GUUCGAUUUCUUCCGGAAGCAGCCGGACGGAGAUUGGCCCUCGAGUGCAAAGGCAGAAGGGAGCUUGACUGCACGACCCACCCGUCGAGCUGGGACAAAAGUCGGCCUUUUGAUCUGACGGUGCCGAGUGGAAGGGCCGUCGCUCAAC